UGUUGAAAAUUUCAUCUAUUUGUAUAGUUAUAAAUUGGCAUGGCUAACAAAAUAACCAAAUUACGACAUGUGGCAUGUCAUGUAUACUUUAUGCUAACGGAUAGAGACCAAUUUUUAAUAGUAGAACUAAAUGAAAUUUUUGAUG
rfam:Gossypium hirsutum cultivar TM-1 chromosome 13, whole genome shotgun sequence